GAUGAAGAACGUAGUGAAAUGCGAUAACUAGUGUGAAUUGCAGAAUUCCGUGAAUCAUCGAGUCUUUGAACGCGCAUUGCGCCCCCUGGUAUUCCGGGGGGCAUGCCUGUCCGAGCGUCAUUGCUGCCCAUCAAGCACGGCUUGUGUGUUGGGUCGUCGUCCCCUCUCCGGGGGGGACGGGCCCCAAAGGCAGCGGCGGCACCGCGUCCGAUCCUCGAGCGUAUGGGGCUUUGUCACCCGCUCUGUAGGCCCGGCCGGCGCUUGCCGAACGCAAAUCAAUCUUUUUCCAGGUUGACCUCGGAUCAGGUAGGGAUACCCGCUGAACUUAAGCAUAUCAAUAAGCGGAGGA
rnacentral:misc_RNA from 1 species